rnacentral:misc_RNA from 1 species
GAACUGUGAUACCUGAUGUGAAUUGCAGAACUACGAAUCAUCGAGUCUUUGAACGCACAUUGCGCCCUUUGGUAUUCCGAAGGGCACGCCUGUUCGAGCGUCGUCAAACUCUCUAGAAAUCAUCAGUUGUGAUUUUUGGGUUUUGGGGGAUGUCAUUGACACCUCCGAAUGUUUUACACAGUUUUUUGUGCUGCUAAUAAUUUGGCAAAGUUGAAUUAUAAGUUUGUCAUGAGAUCUGUGAAUUGGUGGAAUCACCACAUUGAAGUAUUAUACGACCUCAAAUCAGGCGGGGAUACCCGCUGAACUUAA